rnacentral:rRNA from 1 species
CAGUCGCCACGGUAAUACGUAGGGGGCAAGCGUUGUCCGGAAUUAUUGGGCGUAAAGCGCGCGCAGGCGGUCAUUUAAGUCUGGUGUUUAAUCCCGGGGCUCAACCCCGGAUCGCACUGGAAACUGGGUGACUUGAGUGCAGAAGAGGAGAGUGGAAUUCCACGUGUAGCGGUGAAAUGCGUAGAUAUGUGGAGGAACACCAGUGGCGAAGGCGACUCUCUGGGCUGUAACUGACGCUGAGGCGCGAAAGCGUGGGGAGCAAACAGGAUUAGAUACCCGUGUAGUCCCUGUCUCUUAUACA